UGGGGAAUAUUGGGCAAUGGGCGAAAGCCUGACCCAGCAACGCCGCGUGAAGGAAGAAGGUCUUGGAUUGUAAACUUUUGUCCUAUGGGAAGAAGGAAGUGACGGUACCAUGGGAGGAAGCCCCGGCUAACUACGUGCCAGCAGCCGCGGUAAUACGUAGGGGGCGAGCGUUGUCCGGAAUUACUGGGCGUAAAGGGCGCGCAGGCGGCCGAUCAAGUUAGAUGUGAAAUACCUGGGCUUAACCUGGGAACUGCAUUUAAACUGGUUGGCUAGGAGUGCAGGAGAGGGAAGCGGAAUUCCUAGUGUAGCGGUGAAAUGCGUAGAUAUUAGGAGGAACACCAGUGGCGAAGGCGGCUUUCUGGACUGUAACUGACGCUGAGGCGCGAAAGCGUGGGGAGCGAACAGGAUUAGAUACC
rnacentral:rRNA from 1 species